rnacentral:lncRNA from 1 species
UUCAUUAUCACUAUUGAGAGAAAAGAGGCAAAGUUGGGAGAUGAGAGAAAAUAGAAAGUAAGAAGAAGAAAGAAGAAUAUUCAAGAGAAAGAGAGAUGGAAAAGCUUAAGAGUGAGAUUAGAGUGAAGAUUUAAGUUGCUUUUGAAGGGUUAAGGUAAGAGGAAAGUUUAUAUUCACCGUUUAGAGAUUAUGAGUGAUAGAGUGUUUAUGAGUCAUGUUUGUUUAUAUGAUUCUCAUGAAUUUAGUGUUUUGUUAAGUUGAUUUUCAUGCUAUUUAAUUAUGCUAAUUAUGAGUAUGAUGAACUUUAUGAAAUUAUGUUAUUUAUAUGCUUAAACUUAUGCUUGAUGGUAUAAAAUAAGUUGUUCUUGAGAUUUCAGCUUAAAUGUGUGAAAAUCAAGAUGUUGUUGAUGAUUCUUUCUCAAAUUAUGUUCUAAUUGCUAGCUAUGUUGAUGGAAUGAUCAUGUUAAAUUUGAUGUUUGAAUUAAGUUGUGGUUUGUUGGUGAAUUUUGUGAGAAAUGAGUGACAAACCAUGAAAUGAUGUUUUGACGAAUUGAGUUUUGGGAUUAUGAGUUUUGGGUGUGGAAUUGAAUUUGGGGAAAAACGGGUUUUUAAGCUAAAAGUCAAUAUUUAGUGAUUCUAUGAAAUAAGCUAUUUUUGGGCUAAGUUAAUGGAAAUGUUUUGAUUAAGAAAUGAGGCUGAAUAGUAGGGGUUAAAUAGGCUAAGUGAUUGGGAUUGUUUCUGGUGCGAUCAGGAUCGAAAACAGUUUUGAAAACAGACUCUCGUGUGCAAAAACAUAAAAAUUCAAGAACCCUGUCUUGUCAAGGCAGCACGACCAUGCGGCCUAGGAGCACGUAUUGUGUGUAUUGUUCGCACUUGGUCAGUACAACCGUACGGCCAAUUUGCACGACCGUGCGCCCUGUACUAUGUCGGGAAACCUCAUUUUUUUUUUGUCGUUUUUAAAUUUUAAGCAUAUCAUUUGGUCCCAAACACCUAAUCUUAGUUAAUUGAUGUAUAAUUGAGUACUUAAACUUAAUUUAACUUGAUUUGGAUUGGAAUUGAAUUGUAUGGUGCAGACUUUUGAAAAUAGACGAACUUUGACAUUUUAAGAAAUAGAUAAACUUUGAAACUUAAUGAAUCACACUAAGAUAACUUGAGGAUGAUUAUGUGCUAUUGUUGUGAAGAUGAAUGGGGAUUGGUUUGAUUAUGAUAUGUAUUCUUGAAAUGUGGAUUAACUAGAAUGAAUUCUUAAUCGUCUUUAAAUGCCAAUUAUGCUAAAUGAAUGUUUGUUGUUUCUUGAGAUGAUAAAUGUUUGAUGACGAUUGCGGUGAAAUUAUUUAUUGAUGAUAAUUAACUCAUGAUGGUGUGAAUGUGUAUAUAUGUAUAAAUGAGGAUGAAUACAUGUAUAUAAAGUGGUGAAGUUAUGAUGGUGAUGUUUUGUAUGAACAUAUGUAUUUGGUGAGUUAUAUGUUCAUGCAUUCAUGGAUCUUGGAGUACGAUAUUUCAAUAUCCAAGUGGAGAUUAGGAUAAUUGUAUCCAAGUGGUGAUUUAGGAUAUUUCAAUAUCCAAGUGGAGAUAGGAUUAAUCGGUAAAAUAAUUCCGACAUCCAAAAACGGUACCGUAUGAAUAUAGAAUUGUGUCUAGAGCAUUGCAUGCAUAUGAAUCUAUGUGAAAUGAUUUAUACUUGUUGAAUCUAUGUGAAUUUUCUUCUACAUCAACAUGUAUAUUGUAUAGUUCAUUCCCAUCAAAGUAUUAUUUGUAGUUUUAUUAUUGUUUUGAUUUGGCUAUUAUGUUCAAUUUCUUUUUUCCCAGUCCAACGAAAUUACUUUGAUUUUGUCCUGAUGAAGAAUUAGAAUUAUGAAGAUGAACAAAAACACACCAACCAAGAAACGUGAAUUGAGAGAGAAGAUGACAGCAACAAAAACAAUUAAGGAAAAGAACCAGCGGGCCCCAAUAAGAAGCUGAGAAAGUAGAAAAUUUAAAAAUAAAAAUAAUCAUUUAAAGGUCAAUUACGUCAUUGUCCCUUACUAUUGUCUUUUCCAAAAAAUAAAAAAUAGGUUUUUUAGUCUAAAACAAAAGGUGCACCUACCUUGCUAAAAUAGACCUUCAUGAAAAUAAGUUGGUCUAUUGUAGCAAACCCCAUAUAUAUAUAGGAUUCCGACGAAGAUGAAGAAGUAGGUACAGAUAGGUGGCGAAUGGGUACAGAUGCUGGAAAAAUGAUGAACAGUCAAAACAACAGGUUGAUUCGAUGAUUCAUUCAUUCAAGAGUCAUGUUAAUUGUUGAUUCAAAGAAAGAAAGAAAAAAAGAAAAAAAAAGAGGCAUGUUAAUUGCUGGAUAUGCCAUGGCUGAUGAAUAUUAGGCGAGGAAGAAAGAGGAAGAAAGAUUUCAACGAAAUCAUAGAGUAGAGAGAGGCAUGUGUUGUUAAAUGAGGCUUUUUAAUCUCAGUCAAUUAAUUUUAAUCUAAAGGCUCACAAUCAUUCCUACCAUUCUCGUAUAUAAAUGUCAUUCUCAUGUGAUAUGCCCCCUAUAUAUAUAUAUAUAUAUAUAUAUAUAUAUAUAUAGAGAGAGAGAGAGAGAGAGAAUGAAUUUUUGAAUGAGUAUAGAAAUAUUUUGUGUCCAAAUAUAAUUGUUGGACAAAAGAAAAAUCAAUAUUUAGUCGAAAGUAGACGUUGGUCUGCCCUUAUCUCCCAUGAUAAUUAGUUGGGAAGCGAUUCCAUGUGGUGACUUUACCUCCUCUGAUGAUUUAAACCAUUAAAUGCAUUCUCUCCCUCUCAACAUUAAAUGCUUUUUUCUCUUUUAUCUUGAAGAUUUCACUAGAUCUCUCCAUUAUCCGAAGAGGAUAUGUUCCGUGAUUAACUACCUCUCCCGAUGCUUUUUCCUCUUUUAUUUUGAAGAUUUCACUAGAUCUCUCCAUUAUCCAAAGAGGAUAUGUUCUAUGAUUAACUGCCUCUCCCCAAAUUCUCAUUUGUGAAACCUUGUUAAUUGGUACUAGUAAGGUGUGGUGGGAUUACAUAAGAGAUCCUAGGCAUUGAUGGAAAUUGUUGGAAAAAUAUAUAGUGUGUGAGCUAAUGGUAGAGUAGUUAGAGACAUUGGACAAGAGGACACACAUUAGUAGUUACUACAUUGUAUGAGAAGAGAACAUGAUUUGGUGAAGCCUUUUUAAUAUUAUUGACAUUGCAUCUUAAACGUUUGAAUACAAUUGCACCCAUAUACCUAUACUUAUAGGUGCUUGAAGGUGUUUCUAGAACUAGAUUCUAGGCCUUUGUUUGCCAUUUCUACAUUAGAUUAUUAUAGAUGUUUCUAAGCUAUAACUUAAUUUAUACAUUAAUAAAAUAAUCUAGAAACAUGUAGCAACUUUGAGUUAUUCUAGUUUUCUCUAAUAGACGUCGUUAUAUUAACUAGAAAAUUCUAGAAAUAUGUAUCAAUUUCAACACUCCUCCUUGAUGCAUAUUUCAGAAACUCCAAAUGUAAUGCGUAGUUGCUCAAACAUAGAUUUGUGAUAUCAUCUUUUCCUACAUUGAUACUCUUCAUAGUUGAUUAAUUUGACAAGUCUUACCUCCACCAUGAUAGUACAUUUGUGUUACCUCUUGCUAUAAAUAGGUUUGUGACAUCAAUUGGACUUGAACUUAAUAGGAUCGAGCUGUUAGGCUACCUGAACUCUUCUAUUUCCUUCUUAGUUUUGGGUUUGAACUCAAAUAGAGUAUGGCCUAGUGGCUACCUAUACUCCUUUUGUUUUUGAGUCAUAGACUCGGAUUUUCUAGUUUAGUAGGAUAUCAUUCACAUUGUAGAAUAUAUAUAUAUAUAUAUAUAUAUAUAUAUAUAUAUAUAGUUGGUGACACGAGAUCAUAUUUUGUUUGACAAAAAAUUAUAUUUAAUUUUCCAAAUAAGAGAAAAUAAUUCAAUAAAAGUCACACAAGAUAAAGAAAAUGAUCAAAUUGAUCUUCUUUAUUUUAAGCAAGAGCAUUACAUGGGAUACAAAAUGCAGUUGAAUCCUUUAUUCUAGUACAAAAUCACAUGCACCCACACAACUAACAAGCUAGACUCUCAAUACCUUUGACAGGAAAACAAACAAACAAGAAACACUUAAUUUUGCAGCAAUAUUCACUUGAAAAUUAUUCCAUAGCAACCAUACGGGAAGGGGGUGGAGUAGAAGCAGUAA